UAUCCUCUCUGCAGGGCCUCUCUGCUGGGACUCAGAUGCUGAGCGCUGAAAUUCUCAUCCGCCACACACAACAUGGCGGCUUCCUGGACCCGCGCCCAAUUUUCGCUUCCGGGAUGGAAGCUACGUCAUUUCCCCCUCUGUUGCCCUAGCGCCCUUUGGAAGCCAAGAAUGUGAGGAAGUCUUCCUUCGCGCCUUCUUCUUCCUUCUUGCUUCCGCUCCAGGGCAGCCUGACAGAGCCGCUUAAGGCUCUGCUGGCCGCGGCUAGCCGGUUUACCCAUUCCGCUGGGCCCAGCCACCACCCACUCCUGCUGUCUGGUAAACUUUCCGCCUGUUUCUGAGGCCAUGUCUGGCGUGAAGAGUCUUUACUGAAUAGUUUUCAUUGAUCGCAGGCCCCGUUCUUCUGUCUUCUCACCCCUUCAUUGAAGUGACAGUGAAAAUCUAAGUGAGAAAGCACUGUUACAGGGGCUGAAAAGGCUACAGGAGACCAGAGCCAUUGACUUUUACUUUUUAAAUGAAGAUCUCUUUUACUUGAAGGAACUUAAGAAUUUUGGCAUUCAAAUAGGGGCUGGAAGACUUGAAAGCAGUAGAAAUUUCACCACAGGUGAUAGGAAAGGAUGGUCAUGAAAUGAAUAUCUCCUGACUUGCACACCUAGUGAGCAGAGCCAGGACCUCCUUCACCUUAGCAUUUGGAACAGGCUGCAAAGUUCAUUCUUCCUCAUAGCAGCUCCUGCAUUCAGUUUGGUUUAGUUGUUUUAUGUGGUUUCUAGCCUGAUUUUUUUUCAGGGUGCAGCAGAAGUCCCAGGUAGCUGAGAAGUUCAUGGAAUCUUCUUAUUUGGUACACCUUUCACUACUGCUUGUGAUAUAGUGCAGGGUUGGGAUGUGCAGACAUUUCUCAAGUGCACUGUGUACCUACACAGCAUGCUGCAAUUUGGCUACUGCAGUCAAGAGAAACUGGUUUGAACAACUACUAAGUGUAACAUAGGAAGCGUAUUUCAUUUGAUAACAGGAACACAGCUUUUGUGCUAAUAAAAUGCUUUGAAAAUUA